UACAGGAGGGGCAAGCGUUGUUCGGAAUUAUGUGGCGUAAAGGGUCUGUAGGUGGCCAACUAAGUCAGACGUGAAAUCCCUCAGCUUAACUGGGGAACUGCGUCUGAUACUGGAUGGCUUGAGUGUGGGAGAGGAAUGCGGAAUUCCAGGUGUAGCGGUGAAAUGCGUAGAUACUGGGAGGAACACCAGUGGCGAAGGCGGCGACCUGGGCCAAUAUUGACGCUGAGGUGCGAAAGCGUGGGGAGCAACAGGG
rnacentral:rRNA from 1 species